rnacentral:rRNA from 1 species
UGGCAGGUACAGAGGGAUGCUACCGGGCGGACCGGAUGCGGAUCUCGAAAGCCUGUCCCAGUUCGGACUGGAGUCUGCAACCCGACUCCACGAAGUUGGAUUCGCUAGUAAUCGCGCAUCAGCCAUGGCGCGGUGAAUACGUUCCCGGGCCUUGUACACACCGCCCCGUCAAGCCAUGGGAGCCGGGGGCGCCUGAAGUCCGGGACCGCGAGGACCGGCCUAGGGCGAAACUGGUAACUGGGGCUAAGUCGUAACAAGGUAAC